UUUCCUUCUUUUUUUUAUUUUGUUUAUACUAUCCUUUCUCCUUUUUAGUUUUCUUUAGUUUUUGUCUGCCUGUUAUAAGUUUUUUUUUAGUUUUUUGAAGUUUUUUUUAGAAAUACUAAUCUUCUUUUUAUUAGUUUUCUUUAGUUUUUUUCUGCCUGUUUUAAUUGUUUUGUUUUUUGUUUCCUUUAGUUUUUUUUUCUUCAGUUUUUUUUCCUAUUUUUUUGCCUGGCACCUCUUUCUUGAUGAGCUACUCUUAGUCUGGUCCCUCCCCCAGGACCUGCUGCCUUGGGUAACCUUUCAGAGGCAUAAAGCCCUGACAACAUAGCUCCUGGGAUCAUUGGGACACACAAACCCCUCCACCACGGUAAGGUGGUAGCUCAAGGAGGGGAAAAAACCCUCACAUGGGAGGGAAAAACCGCAAGGGUUUUUUUUUCUGUGCAAAACACCCGGUUUAGGGUGGGUUUUUGUUCUUUUUUUUCGGAAAUACUUUUCAUUUCUUUAGUUUCCUAUAGUUCUUUUUUAUUUUUCUGCCUGUUUUAAGUUUUUUUUCAGAAAUACUGUGAUGUUUCUUUUUUUUUUUUAGUUUUUUUUUUUACGAAUACUAUUCUUUUUCUCAGUUUUCUUUAGUUUUUUUUGUCAUUUAUAAAUAUUAAGGGUUUUCCUUUCUGAAAUACUUUUCCUUCUGUUUUUUUAUUUUGUUUAUACUAUCCUUUCUCUUUUUUAGUUUUCUUUAGUAUUUUCUACCUGUUUUAAGUUUUUUUUUUUUUUUUUUUUUUUUCUAUAUAUUUAGGGUGUUUUUUUCUGAAAUACUUUUCCUUCUGUUUUGUUUUAUUUUGUUUAUACAAUCCUUUCUCUUUUUUAGUUUUCUUUAGUUUUUUUCUGCCUGUUUUAAGUUUUUUUUUUAGUUUUUUUUUGUUUUUUUUCUAUAUAUUUAGGGUGUUUUUUCUGAUAUACUUUUCUUUCUGUUUUUUUUAAUAUUGUUUAUACUAUCAUUUCUCUUUAUUUAGUUUUCUUUAGUUUUUUGUCUGCCUGUUUUAAGAUGUUUUUAUUAGUUUUUUUAGUUCUUUUUGUUAUAUAUAUUUAGGGUGUUUUUUUUCAGAAAUAGUUUUCCUUCUGUUUUUUUUUAUUUUGUUUACACUGUCCUUUCUCUUUUUUUUUAAUUUUCUUUAGUUUUUUGUCUGCCUGUUUUUAGUUUUUUUUUUUAGUUUUUUUUUUAGUUCUUUUUGUAAUAUAUUUAGGGUGUUUUAUCAGAAAUACUUUUCCUUCUGUUUUUUUAUUUUGUUUAUAAUAUCCUUUCUCCUUUUUUAGUUUACUUUAGUUUUUUCUGCCUGUUUUAAGUUUUUUUUUUAGAUUUUUUUUAGUUUUUUAAAGUUUGUUUUAGAAAUACUAUUCUUUUUCUUCUUUUUUUAGGUUUCUUUAGUUUUUUUCUGCCUGUUUUAAGGUUGUUUUUUAGUUUUUUUUUCUUGUUGUUAUUUAUAUAUAUAUAGGUUGUUCUUUUCUGAAAUACUUUUCCUUCUGUUUUUUUUAUUUUGUUUAUACUAUCCUUUCUCUUUUUUAGUUUUCUUUAGUUUUUUUCUGCCUGUUUUAAGUUUUUUUUGUUUUUUCUAUAUAUUUAGGGUGUUUUUUUUCUCAAAUACUUUUCCUUCUGUUUUUUUUAUUUUGUUUACACUAUCCUUUCUCUUUUUUUAAUUUUCUUUAGUUUUUUGUCUGCCUGUUUUUAGUUUUUUUUUUUUUAGUUUUUUUUAGUUCUUUUUGUAAUAUAUUUAGGGUGUUUUAUCAGAAAUACUUUUCCUUCUGUUUUUUUUAUUUUGUUUAUACUAUCCUUUCUCUUUUUUAGUUUUCUUUAGUUUUUUUCUGCCUGUUUUAAGUUUUUUUUAGUUUUUUUAGUUUUUUAGUUUUUUCUAUAUAUUUAGGGUGUUUUUUUCUGAAAUACUUUUCCUUCUGUUUUUUUUAUUUUGUUUAUACUAUCCUUUCUCUUUCUUUAAUUUUCUUUAGUUUUUUGUCUGCCUGUUUUAAGUGUUUUUUUUUAGUUUUUUAAAGUUUUUUUUUAGAAAUACUAUUCUUUUUCUUCUUUUUUUAGUUUUCUUUAGUUUUAUUCUGCCUGUUUUUAAGGGUUUUUUUAGGUUUUUUUCAGUUUUUUGUUAUUUAUAUAUAUAAACAACCUGUUUUAAGGUUGUUUUUUAGUUUUUUUCUUGUUGUUAUUUAUAUAUAUUAAGGGUGUUCUUUUCUGAAAUACUUUUCCUUCUUUUUUUUCAUUUUGUUUAUAAUAUCCUUUCUCUUUUUUAGUUUUCUUUAGUUUUUUUCUCCCUGUUUUAAGUUUUUUUUUUUUUUUUUUUUUUUCUAUAUAUUUAGGGUGUUUUUUUUCUCAAAUACUAUUCUUUUUCUCCUUUUUUUUAGUUUUCUUUAGUUUUAUUCUGCCUGUUUUUAAGGUUUUUUUUUAGUUUUUUUUCAGUUUUUUGUUAUUUAUAUACACUCACUGGCCACUUUAUUAGGUACACCUGUCCAACUGCUCGUUAACACUUAAUUUCUAAUCAGCCAAUCACAUGGCGGCAACUUAGUGCAUUUAGGCAUGUAGACAUGGUCAAGACAAUCUCCUGCAGUUCAAACCGAGCAUCAGUAUGGGGAAGAAAGGUGAUUUGAGUGACUUUGAACGUGGCAUGGUUGUUAGUGCCAGAAGGGCUGGUCUGAGUAUUUCAGAAACUGCUGAUCUACUGGGAUUUUCACGCACAACCAUCUCUAGGGUUUACAGAGAAUGGUCCGAAAAAGAAAAAAUAUCCAGUGAGCGGCAGUUCUGUGGGCGGAAAUGCCUUGUUGAUGCCAGAGGUCAGAGGAGAAUGGCCAGACUGGUUUGAGCUGAUAGAAAGGCAACAGUGACUCAAAUAACCACCCGUUACAACCAAGGUAGGCAGAAGAGCAUCUCUGAACGCACAGUACAUCGAACUUUGAGGCAGAUGGGCUACAGCAGCAGAAGACCACGCCAGGUGCCACUCCUUUCAGCUAAGAACAGGAAACUGAGGCUACAAUUUGCACAAGCUCAUCGAAAUUGGACAAUGAAGAUUGGAAAAACGUUGCCUGGUCUGAUGAGUCUCGAUUUCUGCUACGACAUUCGGAUGGUAGGGUCAGAAUUUGGCGUCAACAACAUGAAAGCAUGGAUCCAUCCUGCCUUGUAUCAACAGUUCUGGCUGGUGGUGGUGGUGUCAUGGUGUGGGGAAUAUUUUCUUGGCACUCUUUGGGCCCCUUGGUACCAAUUGAGCAUCGUUGCAACGCCACAGCCUACCUGAGUAUUGUUGCUGACCAUGUCCAUCCCUUUAUGACCACAAUGUACCCAACUUCUGAUGGCUACUUUCAGCAGGAUAAUGCGCCAUGUCAUAAAGCUGGAAUCAUCUCAGACUGGUUUCUUGAACAUGACAAUGAGUUCACUGUACUCAAAUGGCCUCCACAGUCACCAGAUCUCAAUCCAAUAGAGCAUCUUUGGGAUGUGGUGGAGCGGGAGAUUCGCAUCAUGGAUGUGCAGCCGACAAAUCUGCGGCAACUGUGUGAUGCCAUCAUGUCAAUAUGGACCAAGCUCUCUGAGGAAUGCUUCCAGCACCUUGUUGAAUCUAUGCCACGAAGAAUUGAGGCAGUUCUGAAGGCAAAAGGGGGUCCAACCCGUUACUAGCAUGGUGUACCUAAUAAAGUGGCCGGUGAGUGUAUAUAUAUAGGUUGUUCUUUUCUGAAAUACUUUUCCUUGUGUUUUUUUAUUUUGUUUAUACUAUCCUUUCUAUCCUUCUAUCCUUUAUCCUAUCCUUUCUUUUAGUUUUUUUAGUUCUUUUUGUUAUAUAUAUUUAGGGUGUUUUUUUUCAGAAAUACUUUUCCUUCUGUUUUUUUAAUUUUGUUUACACUAUCCUUUCUCCUUUUUUUGGUUAACUUUAGUUUUUUUCUGCCUGUUUUAAGGUUGUUUUUUAGUUUUUUUUAGUUUUUUAAAGUUUUUUUUUUAGAAAUACUAUCCUUUUCUUCUUUUUUAAUUUUCUUUAGUUUUAUUCUUCCUGUUUUUAAGUUUUUUUUAGUUUUUUUUUAGUUUUUUGUUAUUUAUAUAUAUAGGUUGUUCUUUUCUGAAAUACUUUUCCUUCUGUUUUUUUUAUUUUGUUUAUACUAUCCUUUCUCUUUUUUUUAGUUUUCUUUAGUUUUUUUUCUGCCUGUUUUAAUUUUUUAUUAGAAAAACUAUUCUUUUUCUUCUUUUUUAGUUUUCUUUAGUUUUUUUCUGCAUGUUUAAAGUUGUUUUUUAGUUUUUUUUUGUUAUUUAUAAAUAUUAAGGGUUUUCCUUUCUAAAAUACUUUUCCUUCUGUUUUUUUAUUUUGUUUAUACCAUCCUUUCUCUUUUUUAGUUUUCUUUAGUUUUUUUCUGCCUGUUUUAAGUUUUUUUUUAGUUUUUUUAGUUUUUUAGUUUUUUCUAUAUAUUUAGGGUGUUUUUUCUGAAAUACUUUUCCUUCUGUUUUUUUUAUUUUGUUUAUACUAUCCUUUCUCUUUCUUUAAUUUUCUUUAGUUUUUUGUCUGCCUGUUUUAAGUGGUUUUUUUUAGGUUUUUUUAGUUACUUUUGUAAUAUAUUUAGGGUGUUUUAUCAGAAAUACUUCUGUUUUUUUUAUUUUGUUUAUAAUAUCCUUUCUCCUUUUUUAGUUUACUUUAGUUUUUUCUGCCUGUUUUAAUUUUAUUUUUUAGUUUUUUUUUGUUCUUUUUGUAAUAUAUUUAGGGUGUUUUUUCAGAAAUACUGUUCCUUCUGUUUUUUUUAGUUUUUGUCUGCCUGUUCUAAGUUUUUUUUUAGUUUUUUUUAGUUUUUUUUAGAAAUAAUAAUCUUCUUUUUAUUAGUUUUCUUUAGUUUUUUUCUGCCUGUUUUAAUUUUUCUGUUUUUUGUUUUCUUUAGUUUUUUUUCUUCAGUUUUUUUUUCCUAUUUUUUUGCCUGGCACCUCUGUCUGGAUGAGCUACUCUUAGUCUGGUCCCUCCCCCAGGACCUGUUUGCCUUGGGUAACCUUUCAGAGGCAUAAAGCCCUGACAACAUAGCUCCUGGGAUCAUUGGGACACACAAACCCCUCCACCACGGUAAGGUGGUAGCUCAAGGAGGGGAAAAAACCCUCACAUGGGAGGGAAAAACCGCAAGGGUUUUUUUUUCUGUCCAAAACAACCGGUUUAGGGUGGGUUUUUGUUCUUUUUUUUCAGAAAUACUUUUAUUUUCUUUAGUUUCCUAUAGUUCUUUUUUAUUUUUCUGCCUGUUUUAAGUUUUUUUUUUCAGAAAUACUGUGAUUUUACUUUUUUUUUUUACUUUUUUUUUUUUUACAAAUACUAUUCUUUUUCUUUGUUUUCUUUAGUUUUUUUCUGCAUGUUUAAAGUUUUUUUUUGUUUUUUUUGUUAUUUAUAAAUAUAAAGGGUUUUCCUUUCUAAAAUACUUUUCCUUCUGUUUUUUUUAUUUUGUUUAUACUAUCCUUUCUCUUUUUUAGUUUUCUUUAGUUUUUUUCUACCUGUUUUAAGUUUUUUUUGUUUGUCUUUUUUGUUUUUUCUAUAUAUUUAGGGUCUUUUUUUCUGAAAUACUUUUCCCUCUGUUUUUUUAUUUUGUUUAUACUAUCCUUUCUAUUUUUUAGUUUUCUUUAGUUUUUUUCUGCCUGUUUUAAGUUUUUUUUUUUUUUUUUUUAUAUAUAUUUGGGGUAUUUUUUCUGAUAUACUUUUCUUUCUGUUUUUUCAAUUUUGUUUAUACUAUCCUUUCUCUUUUUUUAGUUUUCUCUAGUUUUUUUCUGCCUGUUUUAAGUUUUUUUAUUAGUUUUUUUAGUUUUUUUCUGUUAUAUAUAAUUAGGGUGGUUUUUUUUCAGAAAUUCUUUUCCUUCUGUUUUUUUAUUUUGUUUACACUAUCCUUUCUCCUCUUUUUAGUUUACUUUAGUUUUUUCUGCCUGUUUUAAGUUUUUUUUUAGUUUUUAAAAGUUUUUUUUAGAAAUACUAUUCUUUUUCUUCUUUUUUUAGUUUUCUUUAGUUUUAUUCUGCCUGUUUUUAAGGGUUUUUUUAGUUUUUUUUCAGUUUUUUUGUUAUUUAUAUAUAUAUAUAGGUUGUUCUUUUCUGAAAUACUUUUCCUUCUGUUUUUUUUUUAUUUUGUUUAUACCAUCCUUUCUAUCCUUUAUUUCUUUAGUUUUUUUCUGCCUGUUUUAAGUUUUUUUUUUUUUUUUUUUUUUUUUUUUCUAUAUAUUUGGGGUGUUUUUUCUGAUAUACUUUUCUUUCUGUUUUUUCAAUUUUGUUUAUACUAUCCUUUCUCUUUUUUUAGUUUUCUCUAGUUUUUUUUCUGCCUGUUUUAAGUUUUUUUAUUAGUUUUUUUAGUUUUUUUCUGUUAUAUAUAAUUAGGGUGUUUUUUUUUUCAGAAAUUCUUUUCCUUCUGUUUUUUAUUUUGUUUACACUAUCCUUUCUCCUCUUUUUAGUUUACUUUAGUUUUUUCUGCCUGUUUUAAGUUUUUUUUUAGUUUUUAAAAGUUUUUUUUAGAAAUACUAUUCUUUUUCUUCUUUUUUUAGUUUUCUUUAGUUUUAUUCUGCCUGUUUUUAAGGGUUUUUUUUAGUUUUUUUUUCAGUUUUUUUGUUAUUUAUAUAUAUAUAUAGGUUGUUCUUUUCUGAAAUACUUUUCCUUCUGUUUUUUUUUUUUAUUUUGUUUAUACCAUCCUUUCUAUCCUUUAUCCUAUCCUUUCUUUUAGUUUUUUUAGUUCUUUUUGUUAUAUAUAUUUAGGGUGUUUUUUUUCAGAAAUAUUUUUCCUUCUGUUUUUUUAAUUUUGUUUACACUAUCCUUUCUCCUUUUUUUAGUUUACUUUAGUUUUUUCUGCCUGUUUUAAGUUUUUUUUUAUUUUUUUAACGUUUUUUUAGAAAUACUAUUCUUUUUCUUCUUUUUUAGUUUACUUUAGUUUUAUUCUGCCUGUUUGUAAGUGUUUUUUUAAGUUUUUUUUGUUUUUUUGUUAUUUAUAUAUAUAUAUGUUGUUCUUUUCUGAAAUACUUUUCCUUCUGUUUUUUAUUUUGUUUAUACUAGCCUUUCUCUUUUUUUUAGUUUUCUUUAGUUUUUUUUCUGCCUGUUUUAAUUUUUUUUUUUUUUUUUUUGUUUUUUCUAUAUAUUUAGGGUGCUUUUUUCUGAUAUACUUUUCUUUCUGUUUUUUUUUAUUUUGUUUUAACUAUCCUUUCUCUUUUGUAGUUUUCUUCAUUUUUUUCUUCAUGUUUUAAUUUUUUUUUUAGUUUUUUCUAUAUAUUUAGGGUGUUUUUUUCUGAAAUACUUUUCCUUCUGUUUUUUUUAUUUUGUUUAUACUAUCCUUUCUCUUUUUUUAAUUUUCUUUAGUUUUUUGUCUGCCUGUUUUAAGUUUUUCUUUUAGUUUUUUUAGUUAUUUUUGUAAUAUAUUAAGGGUGUUUUAUCAGAAAUACUUUUCCUUCUUUUUUUUAUUUUGUUUAUAAUAUCCUUUCUCCUUUUUUAGUUUACUUUAGAUUUUUCUGCCUGUUUUAAGUUUUUUUAAAGUUUUUUUUAGUUCUUUUUGUAAUAUAUUUAGGGUGUUUUUUCAGAAAUACUGUUCCUUCUGUUUUUUUUAGUUUUUGUCUGCCUGUUCUAAGUUUUUUUUUAGUUUUUUGAAGUUUUUUUUAGAAAUAAUAAUCUUCUUUUUAUUAUUUUUCUUUAGUUUUUUUCUGCCUGUUUUAAUUUUUCUGUUUUUUGUUUUCUUUAGUUUUUUUUCUUCAGUUUUUUUUUCCUAUUUUUUUGCCUGGCACCUCUGUCUGGAUGAGCUACUCUUAGUCUGGUCCCUCCCCCAGGACCUGUUUGCCUUGGGUAACCUUUCAGAGGCAUAAAGCCCUGACAACAUAGCUCCUGGGAUCAUUGGGACACACAAACCCCUCCACCACGGUAAGGUGGUAGCUCAAGGAGGGGAAAAAACCCUCACAUGGGAGGGAAAAACCCGAGGGUUUUUUUUUCUGUCCAAAACAACCGGUUUAGGGUGGGUUUUUGUUCUUUUUUUUCAGAAAUACUUUUCAUUUCUUUAGUUUCCUAUAGUUCUUUUUUAUUUUUCUGCCUGUUUUAAGUUUUUUUUUUCAGAAAUACUGUGAUUUUACUUUUUUUUUUACUUUUUUUUUUUUACAAAUACUAUUCUUUUUCUUUGUUUUCUUUAGUUUUUUUCUGCAUGUUUAAAGUUUUUUUUUGUUUUUUUUGUUAUUUAUAAAUAUAAAGGGUUUUCCUUUCUAAAAUACUUUUCCUUCUGUUUUUUUUAUUUUGUUUAUACUAUCCUUUCUCUUUUUUAGUUUUCUUUAGUUUUUUUCUACCUGUUUUAAGUUUUUUUUGUUUGUCUUUUUUGUUUUUUCUAUAUAUUUAGGGUCUUUUUUUCUGAAAUACUUUUCCCUCUGUUUUUUUAUUUUGUUUAUACUAUCCUGUCUAUUUUUUAGUUUUCUUUAGUUUUUUUCUGCCUGUUUUAAGUUUUUUUUUUUUUUUUUUUCUAUAUAUUUGGGGUAUUUUUUCUGAUAUACUUUUCUUUCUGUUUUUUCAAUUUUGUUUAUACUAUCCUUUCUCUUUUUUUAGUUUUCUCUAGUUUUUUUCUGCCUGUUUUAAGUUUUUUUAUUAGUUUUUUUAGUUUUUUUCUGUUAUAUAUAAUUAGGGUGGUUUUUUUUCAGAAAUUCUUUUCCUUCUGUUUUUUUAUUUUGUUUACACUAUCCUUUCUCCUCUUUUUAGUUUACUUUAGUUUUUUUCUGCCUGUUUUAAGUUUUUUUUUUAGUUUUUAAAAGUUUUUUUUAGAAAUACUAUUCUUUUUUUUCUUUUUUUAGUUUUCUUUAGUUUUAUUCUGCCUGUUGUUAAGGUUUUUUUUUAGGUUUUUUUCAGUUUUUUUGUUAUUUAUAUAUAUAUAUAGGUUGUUCUUUUCUGAAAUACUUUUCCUUCUGUUUUUUUUUUAUUUUGUUUAUACCAUCCUUUCUAUCCUUUAUUUCUUUAGUUUUUUUCUGCCUGUUUUAAGUUUUUGUUUUUUUGUUUUUUUGUUUUUUCUAUAUAUUUCGGGUGUUUUUUCUGAUAUACUUUUCUUUCUGUUUUUUCAAUUUUGUUUAUACUAUCCUUUCUCUUUUUUUAGUUUUCUCUAGUUUUUUUUCUGCCUGUUUUAAGUUUUUUUAUUAGUUUUUUUAGUUUUUUUCUGUUAUAUAUAAUUAGGGUGUUUUUUUUUCAGAAAUUCUUUUCCUUCUGUUUUUUUAUUUUGUUUACACUAUCCUUUCUCCUCUUUUUAGUUUACUUUAGUUUUUUCUGCCUGUUUUAAGUUUUUUUUUAGUUUUUUAAAGUUUUUUUUAGAAAUACUAUUCUUUUUCUUCUUUUUUUAGUUUUCUUUAGUUUUAUUCUGCCUGUUUUUAAGGGUUUUUUUUAGUUUUUUUUUCAGUUUUUUUGUUAUUUAUAUAUAUAUAUAGGUUUUUCUUUUCUGAAAUACUUUUCCUUCUGUUUUUUUUUUUUAUUUUGUUUAUACCAUCCUUUCUAUCCUUUAUCCUAUCCUUUCUUUUAGUUUUUUUAGUUCUUUUUGUUAUAUAUAUUUAGGGUGUUUUUUUUCAGAAAUACUUUUCCUUCUGUUUUUUUAAUUUUGUUUACACUAUCCUUUCUCCUUUUUUUAGUUUACUUUAGUUUUUU
rnacentral:lncRNA from 1 species